AACGAACGUUAGCGGCGCGCUUAACACAUGCAAGUCGAACGACAAAGGGAGCAAUCCCCGGUAAAGUGGCGCACGGGUGAGUAACACGUAGGUAACCUACCCCUUGGCGGGGGAUAACCUUCCGAAAGGAGGGCUAAUACCGCAUAUGACCACGUCUGCGUGAGCAGAUGAGGUAAAAGCUGGCCUCUUCAUGAACGCUGGCACCGAGGGAUGGGCCUGCGCCCCAUCAGCUAGUUGGUAGGGUAAUGGCCUACCAAGGCCGAGACGGGUAGCUGGUCUGAGGGGAUGAUCAGCCACACUGGAACUGAGACACGGUCCAGACUCCUACGGGAGGCAGCAGUGGGGAAUCUUGCGCAAUGGGCGAAAGCCUGACGCAGCGACGCCGCGUGAGUGAUGAAGGCCUUAGGGUUGUAAAGCUCUGUGGAGAGGGACGAAUAAGCGUCGGUGAAUAUCCGGCGUGAUGACGGUACCUCUUUAGCAAGAAAGCACAGGCUAACUCCGUGCCAGCCGCCGCAGUAAUAC
rnacentral:rRNA from 1 species